rnacentral:rRNA from 1 species
UACGGAGGGGGCUAGCGUUGUUCGGAAUUACUGGGCGUAAAGCGCACGUAGGCGGCUUUGCAAGUUAGAGGUGAAAGCCCGGGGCUCAACUCCGGAAUUGCCUUUAAAACUGCAUCGCUAGAAUUGUGGAGAGGUAAGUGGAAUUCCGAGUGUAGAGGUGAAAUUCGUAGAUAUUCGGAAGAACACCAGUGGCGAAGGCGACUCGCUGGACAGGUAUUGACGCUGAGGUGCGAAAGCGUGGGGAGCAAACAGG